GAUCCAGCUAAGUGGUUACAGCGACAGAAUGUAAAUCUGUUUCGCUUUGACUGUGCAGGUUCGAAACCUCCUGAACA